AAUGAACGUUGGCGGCGUGGAUUAGGCAUGCAAGUCGUGCGGAAAGGCUCCUUCGGGAGUACUCGAGCGGCGAAAGGGAGAGUAACGCGUGGAUAUCUACCCCCUGGACUGGGACAGCGGCGGGAAACUGCCGGUAAUACCAGAUAAUGUCUGCGGACCAAAGGUGUGAUUCCGCCGGGGGAUGAGUCCGCGUCCUAUUAGCUAGUUGGUGGGGUAACGGCCUACCAAGGCAAAGAUGGGUACCGGGGGUGAGAGCAUGGCCCGGCUCACUGGGACUGGGACACUGCCCAGACACCGACGGGUGGCUGCAGUCGGGAAGCUUCGGCAAUGGGCGAAAGCCUGACCGAGCGACGCCGCGUGCGGGAUGAAGGCCUUCGGGUUGUAAACCGCUGUCAGUGGGGAGGAAAUGCAUGAGGGUUCUCUCUCAUGUUUGACCUAUCCUCAGAGGAAGUACGGGCUAAGUUCGUGCCAGCAGCCGCCGUAAUAC
rnacentral:rRNA from 1 species